UACAGGGGGGGCAAGCGUUGUUCGGAAUUACUGGGCGUAAAGGGCUCGUAGGCGGCCAACUAAGUCCGACGUGAAAUCCCAAAGCUUAACUUUGGAACUGCGUCGGAUACUGGAUGGCUUGAAUUCGGGAGAGGGAUGCAGAAUUCCAGGUGUAGCGGUGAAAUGCGUAGAUAUCUGGAGGAAUACCGGUGGCGAAGGCGGCAUCCUGGACCGACAUUGACGCUGAGGAGCGAAGGUCAGGGGAGCAAACGGG
rnacentral:rRNA from 1 species